UGACGCGGAGCCGCGUCCAGGGGUGGGGGGACAAGAGGUGACGGGAAAGCGGCGUCACGGCAGGGAACAUUUGGAUACAAAACCACCGUUCAAACGGGGUCUAUUAAAACCGAGGGCGCAAACUGGAUUAAAUUUACUUUUGGGGUUUUGACUUUGGUCCCUGGUGCCGGAAAUUAUCAAGGAAGCAGGUUCUCCGUGUCCACAGCAACACUCAUCCGGCAGUCACGACCGCCACGGACGUCUUAGCCGGUCAAAAAGCAACACGUCGGCCUCCUUUAUAAAAAAAAAAAACCCCAGCGGUACGGGAUGUGCACACUUGUUUUCACUGCGUUGUGAACAUUUGGUCAAAUCAGGCUCAGAUUGGCUCAUCGUGGCACGUCAAAUUUUCCUCUCUCUGCAGGAAGCUUCAGCUGAGUUAAAAUAAAAAAAAUAAAAAACUGUUGCUACUAGCAACUGGACAUGGUACACCAUGUUUUUUUUCCUUCCAAUUUCAAAGCUGCCACCGAAGAUUCACGCCAGGAGAAAAAAAACCGCUCCGUUUUAAAACAUCUGAUCGUUAUUUGUGGUUUUUAGUUUUGUUUAUCACACGGAAACUGUUCCCUGAGACGAUGCGAACCAAAAAAUGUUGCUCAAAUUUCCAGGUUCCCCUUCACUACAUGCAGGUGUCCUCUGUUGUAGCUCUCUGAGACACUCAGCUCAGGUUAGUUAUUAUGUGGGACUCUGACAAGAAACUCUAAAAAAAAAAAGAAAAAAAAGAAAAUAAAGAACUGAAACCAUGUUUUUUUUCCCCUCCCAACAAAACAGAUUAAGAACUGAAAAGGGUUAAUCUCUGUCUCUGUAUGUUAAACAUGUGUUUUACCCUGUGAGGAAAUGGACUUUUUACAUUUUUACACACGUAUAGCAGGAUAAAAGAAGAGCUUGGCACCGCUGCACUAAUGGAAAGCACUAACAUCGUUUAGCUCACGUAGCCAGUCAGGUAUCCGUGUCUGGAUCGUGGAUAAUUAAUGAACAGAACAGCCAGCCGAAGGGUCUGCUGCAGAUUCAGCACCCCCCCCCCCCCCUCCUCCCCCAUUAAGGCUGAACGAUCACGUUACGACGACUCAAAUCAACUCAGAGUGGACCGGCGUCGUGGAAAGAUCAGAAAAUGUGACGAAAGACGAGAUCUUACAGCAGCAGAGACACACCUGGAGGAAAAUCUCCUUUUAUGUGAACUUAAUCAUUAAAAAAAAAAAAGAGGAAAAUAAAGAAUCUGGAGCAAGCAUUACUGAUAGAAAGCCUUUUGAGUCUUAUUUCUGUCUCGUCUUGUAUGUUAUUAAAAUGCUUUAAGUGAUUACAAGGGCAAACUGAAAACACGCGUGUUUAUGGUUCCUCGCUAAUCUCGGUGUUGAAAGUCCAGUGUGGGAUUGUUUUGUUAUUUUUCUUUGCAGGCAUGCUCUGCUUUGUGUUGUUUGUUGUGGCUCAUUGUAUCUCACUCUACUGCGAAAAGGACCAUAUAAAACAAUAAAAAUGCUUGACUGUGUGUCUA